rnacentral:rRNA from 1 species
AUACGUAGGGAGCGAGCGUUGUCCGGAAUUACUGGGUGUAAAGGGAGCGUAGGCGGGAGUGCAAGUCAGAUGUGAAAUGCAUGGGCUUAACCCAUGAGCUGCAUUUGAAACUGCAUUUCUUGAGUGAAGUAGAGGUAAGCGGAAUUCCUGGUGUAGCGGUGAAAUGCGUAGAUAUCAGGAGGAACACCGGUGGCGAAGGCGGCUUACUGGGCUUUUACUGACGCUGAGGCUCGAAAGCGUGGGGAGCAAACAGGAUUAGAUACCCUGGUAGUCCACGCUGUAAACGAUGAUUACUAGGUGUGGGGGGACUGACCCCUUCCGUGCCGCAGUUAACACAAUAAGUAAUCCACCUGGGGAGCACGGCCGCAAGGUUGAAACUCAAAUGAAUCGACGGGG